AGCCUCGAGUUUCUCUUCAUUGUCGCAUAAAUCUUUCGCCUUUUACUAAAGAUUUCCGUGGAGGGGAGCUUUUGCGAGUGACCUGUAUUUUUUUGGGGGCUCUGCUCACAGCAGAGCU
ensembl:snRNA U5 U5 spliceosomal RNA